AGCCCGGGGAACAGCAGCUCGGCGGUGACUGGCUUGCGGGGGAGUUGCCCCGCAGAAUCCAGGCAUGUCGGUAACUGAGAACAGAAAGCAGAAUCUCUCUCUCUUUAGUCCUUCUACUCACUUGUGGAUAACUUAAAACUAAAAGAUUGUGUUUUACUAAAAGUUAGCAUGCAAGAAAUUUUAAGAGUUUCCCAGAGAAUGAAUCUUUAUAUAAAAGCUUUAGUGAGUUGCCUUGGUUUUAGUCACAUUUUACCCCUGUAAAGAACUUCUGCCCAAAUUUCGUGUUCAGUCUUAGCAGGAGGAGACAUAAGGUUCACACAAUAGAGAUCAUUUGUUGCUUAGCAACUGGGUGGGACUCAAACCACCUCCAGCAGUUUCUCAGAACUAGGGAGAGAGUAGAACUUAUACACCAAAAACUACAAAUCUGCAAAUAAGAUAAAUGGAAAGCUGGCAGGCUGAGGAUUUCCUUGAUUCUUAGAUAAAAGAACUAAAAACACGAGGAGAUGAUGUAGAUCACAUCUAAGGAACUGGCUGCAAGCUGGAAUCUGGCCUUCUAUAUCCUUCUGAACUGCACAUGUAGCUUAAGGCUGAGUAUUAAACAGAAUGAUCAAACAGUA